rnacentral:rRNA from 18 species
UGGAGGGCAAGUCUGGUGCCAGAAGCCGCGGUAAUUCCAGCUCCAAUAGCGUAUAUUAAAGUUGUUGCAGUUAAAACGCUCGUAGUCGGAUUUCGGGGCGGUCCCGCCGGUCUGCCGAUGGGUACGCACUGGCGGGCGCGUCCUUCCUCCCGGAGACGGCCGCUACUCUUAACUGAGCGGUGGUCGGAGACGGGAUGUUUACUUUGAAAAAAUCAGAGUGUUUCAAGCAGGCAGUCGCUCUUGCAUGGAUUAGCAUGGGAUAAUGAAAUAGGACUCUGGUGCUAUUUUGUUGGUUUCGAGCACCGGAGUAAUGAUUAACAGGGACAGUCAGGGGCACUCGUAUUCCGCCGAGAGAGGUGAAAUUCUCAGACCAGCGGAAGACGAACGACUGCGAAAGCAUUUGCCAGGGAUGUUUUCACUGAUCAAGAACGAAAGUUAGGGGAUCGAAGACGAUCAGAUACCGUCGUAGUCUUAACCAUAAACCAUGCCGACUAGGGAUUGGAGGAUGUUCCGUUUGUGACUCCUUCAGCACCUUUCGGGAAACUAAAGUCUUUGGGUUCCGGGGGGAGUAUGGUCGCA